AUUGAACGCUGGCGGCAUGCCUUACACAUGCAAGUCGAACGGCAGCGCGGACUUCGGUCUGGCGGCGAGUGGCGAACGGGUGAGUAAUACAUCGGAACGUACCCUGUUGUGGGGGAUAACUAGUCGAAAGAUUAGCUAAUACCGCAUACGACCUGAGGGUGAAAGUGGGGGACCGCAAGGCCUCACGCAGCAGGAGCGGCCGAUGUCUGAUUAGCUAGUUGGUGGGGUAAAGGCCCACCAAGGCGAAGAUCAGUAGCUGGUCUGAGAGGACGAUCAGCCACACUGGGACUGAGACACGGCACAGACUCCUACGGGAGGCAGCAGUGGGGAAGUUUGGACAAUGGGGGCAACCCUGAUCCAGCAUUGCCGCGUGUGUGAAGAAGGCCUUCAGGUUGUAAAGCACUUUUGUCCGGAAAGAAAUCGCGCUGGUUAAUACCUGGCGUGGAUGACGGUACCGGAAGAAUAAGCACCGGCUAACUACGUGCCAGCCGCCGCGGUAA
rnacentral:rRNA from 1 species